rnacentral:rRNA from 1 species
AGCGAACGCUGGCGGCAGGCUUAACACAUGCAAGUCGAGCGGGCGUAGCAAUACGUCAGCGGCAGACGGGUGAGUAACGCGUGGGAACGUACCUUUUGGUUCGGAACAACACAGGGAAACUUGUGCUAAUACCGGAUAAGCCCUUACGGGGAAAGAUUUAUCGCCGAAAGAUCGGCCCGCGUCUGAUUAGCUAGUUGGUAGGGUAAUGGCCUACCAAGGCGACGAUCAGUAGCUGGUCUGAGAGGAUGAUCAGCCACAUUGGGACUGAGACACGGCCCAAACUCCUACGGGAGGCAGCAGUGGGGAAUAUUGGACAAUGGGGGCAACCCUGAUCCAGCCAUGCCGCGUGAGUGAUGAAGGCCCUAGGGUUGUAAAGCUCUUUUGUGCGGGAAGAUAAUGACGGUACCGCAAGAAUAAGCCCCGGCUAACUUCGUGCCAGCCGCCGCCGUAACAC